AGGAUAAUAGUUUAUAAAAACAUUUAAGUUGCAUUUAAAAAAUAUUAACAAAUAAUUUAUCUUA
rnacentral:tRNA from 1 species